rnacentral:rRNA from 1 species
UACGAAGGGGGCUAGCGUUGUUCGGAUUUACUGGGCGUAAAGCGCACGUAGGCGGAUUGUUAAGUCAGGGGUGAAAUCCCGGAGCUCAACUCCGGAACUGCCUUUGAUACUGGCAAUCUAGAGUCCGGAAGAGGUGAGUGGAACUCCUAGUGUAGAGGUGGAAUUCGUAGAUAUUAGGAAGAACACCAGUGGCGAAGGCGGCUCACUGGUCCGGUACUGACGCUGAGGUGCGAAAGCGUGGGGAGCAAACAGGG